rnacentral:rRNA from 1 species
UACAGAGGGUGCAAGCGUUGUUCGGAAUUAUUGGGCGUAAAGCGCGUGUAGGCGGCUUUGUAAGUCGGGUGUGAAAGCCCUCAGCUUAACUGAGGAAGUGCGCCCGAAACUGCACAGCUUGAGUACCGGAGAGGAUGGCGGAAUUCCCGAAGUAGAGGUGAAAUUCGUAGAUAUCGGGAGGAACACCGGUGGCGAAGGCGGCCAUCUGGACGGAUACUGACGCUGAGACGCGAAAGCGUGGGUAGCAAACAGG